AUUGAACUCUGGCGGCAGGCCUAACACAUGCAAGUCGAGCGAGCGGCGGACGGGUGAGUAAUGUAUGGGGAUCUGCCCGAUUGAGGGGGAUAACUACUUGAAACGGUGGCUAAUACCGCAUACUAUCGGAUGCACCCAUAUGGGAUUAGCUAGUAGGUGGGGUAAAGACUCACCUAGGCGACGAUCCCUAGCUGGUCUGAGAGGAUGACCAGCCACGCUGGGACGGAGACACGGACAAGACUCCUACGGAAGGCAGCAGUGGGGAAUAUUGCACAAUGGGCGCAAGCCUGAUGAAGACAUGCCGCGUGUAUGAAGAAGGCCUUAGGGUUGUAAAGGACUUUCAGCGGGGAGGCGUUACACGCAGAAGGAGAACCGGCUAACUCCAUGCCAGCAGCCGCGGUAAUUC
rnacentral:rRNA from 1 species